rnacentral:rRNA from 1 species
AUUGAACGCUGGCGGCAGGCCUAACACAUGCAAGUCGAGCGGAUGAAGGGAGCUUGCUCCUGGAUUCAGCGGCGGACGGGUGAGUAAUGCCUAGGAAUCUGCCUGGUAGUGGGGGAUAACGUCCGGAAACGGGCGCUAAUACCGCAUACGUCCUGAGGGAGAAAGUGGGGGAUCUUCGGACCUCACGCUAUCAGAUGAGCCUAGGUCGGAUUAGCUAGUUGGUGGGGUAAAGGCCUACCAAGGCGACGAUCCGUAACUGGUCUGAGAGGAUGAUCAGUCACACUGGAACUGAGACACGGUCCAGACUCCUACGGGAGGCAGCAGUGGAGAAUAUUGGGCAAUGGGCGAAAGCCUGAUCCAGCCAUGCCGCGUGUGUGAAGAAGGUCUUCGGAUUGUAAAGCACUUUAAGUUGGGAGGAAGGGCAGUAAGUUAAUACCUUGCUGUUUUGACGUUACCAACAGAAUAAGCACCGGCUAACUUCGUG